GAAAAAAAAAUCAUUGUAUUUUGUCUUGCAGUGCUGCAUGAUUGAAUCUUUACAAAAACAAUUAAUUUAUGGUGUCUUACGGUAACGGAUUAGUAUGAAGUUGGCAUCCAUUGAGAUUUGUGCACUCAUCGCAUGGCCUUCGUUUAAGUCCUCCACUGACUAAAAUGAUUUCCAUUGACUAACGAGACUCGAUAAUUGUACGAAGGUGGAUUUGUGCACUCAUCGCAUGGCCUUUGUUUAAGUCUUCCAUUGACUAAAAAGAUUUCCGUUCUACCGGACUCAAUUGUCAAGUCGUCCAUUGGUAAACAACUGAACAUCUGUUGAAGAAGUGAUGAUGAGGCUCUGAAGAAGAUGUCUCCAAGAUUUCUACUUUUGGUGAUCAAAGCAUGGAGGGCAAAGGAAUAGUUAUCAGACGAAGCAACAUAUGAUUCAAAGGCAGUUGGGAC
rnacentral:sRNA from 10 species